rnacentral:rRNA from 1 species
GACGAACGCUGGCGGCGUGCUUAAUACAUGCAAGUCGAACGCAGUGGGGACGGGUGAGUAACACGUGGCUAACCUCCCAUCAGAGGGGAUAACCCUUGGAAACAGGUGCUAAACCGAUAUUGAUGGAUGUACUCGCGGUGUAGUAGCUAGUUGGUGAGGUAACGGCUCACCAAGGCCACGAGGCAUAGCCGACCUGAGAGGGUGAUCGGCCACACUGGGACUGAGACACGGCCCAGACUCCUACGGGAGGCAGCAGUAGGGAAUCUUCGGCAAUGGACGAAAGUCUGACCGAGCAACGCCGCGUGAGUGAAGAAGGUUUUCGGAUCGUAAAGCUCUGUUGUUAGAGAAGCGGUAUCUAACCAGAAGGCCACGGCUAACUACGUGCCAGCAGCCGCGGUAAUUC